rnacentral:rRNA from 1 species
AUUGAACGCUGGCGGCAGGCCUAACACAUGCAAGUCGAACGAGUGGCGGACGGGUGUGUAAUGUCUGGGAAACUGCCCGAUGUAGGGGGAUAACACUUGGAAACGGUAGCUAAUACCGCACACCACCGGCUAUGCCCAGAUGUGAUUAGCGAUUGGGUGGGGUAACGGCUCACCUAGGCGACGAUCCCUAGCUGGUCUGAGAGGAUGACAAGCCAAACUGGAACUGAGACACGGUCCAGACUCCUACGGGAGGCAGCAGUGGGGAAUAUUGCACAAUGGGCGCAAGCCUGAUGCAGCCAUGCCGCGUGUAUGAAGAAGGCCUUCGGGUUGUAAAGUACUUUCAGCGAGGAGGCGUUACUCGCAGAAGAAGCACCGGCUAACUCCGUGCCAGCAGCCGCGGUAAUAC